rnacentral:rRNA from 1 species
AGCGAACGCUGGCGGCAGGCCUAACACAUGCAAGUCGAACGAAGUCUUCGGACUUAGUGGCGGACGGGUGAGUAACACGUGGGAACGUACCUUUUGGUUCGGAACAACUCAGGGAAACUUGAGCUAAUACCGGAUGAGCCCUUAGGGGGAAAGAUUUAUCGCCGAAAGAGCGGCCCGCGUUAGAUUAGCUAGUUGGUGAGGUAAAGGCUCACCAAGGCUACGAUCUAUAGCUGGUCUGAGAGGAUGAUCAGCCACACUGGGACCGAGACACGGCCCGGACUCCUACGGGAGGCAGCAGUGGGGAAUCUUGCGCAAUGGGCGAAAGCCUGACGCAGCCAUGCCGCGUGAAUGAUGAAGGUCUUAGGAUUGUAAAAUUCUUUUACCAGGGACGAUAAUGACGGUACCUGGAGAAAAAGCCCCGGCUAACUUCGUGCCAGCCGCCGCCGUAAUAC